UUAUGACUUGAAAAUAAAAGAUCUAAUUGAAUUUUUUAGUUUUUGUUUCAAAAAGAUUAAAAAAGUUGAUUUAGGGGUGAAAUACUUGUCGCUUUUAUUAGUAUCUAGUAACUUUAGAAAUAAAUUUAGUUUUUUGUAUUGGGAAUUUUCUUAUUUUUAGUAAAUUUUUUAUAUAUAAUAAUUUUUUAGGGGAUGAGCUCUAAGAAAAAAUUAAAAGAGAAAAAAUUUUUUGUUUUUUUUGUAGGUUUAGAAUUGACCAUGGGAAAGUGUUAUAAGAUAAAAAUGAAAGUUUAUGAUUUAUUUUUCUUUUAGGUUUAUGAAGUUAAUUUAAAAUAAAAAGAGAAGUGAAAAUAUGGUAGUAUAAGUAGAUAAGAGAAUAGAGAAAAAUUUUAAAUUUUUUCUUUAAAUUUUUUUGAAAUAAUUUAAAUAAAAGAAUUCGGCAAAGGGGAUUUUCGAAUGUUUAACAAAAACAUUUCCUCUGGAAGAAAGGAGGUAAGGUCUGCUCACUGAGAAUUGAAGAGCCGCAGUAUACUGACUGUGCUAAGGUAGCAUAAUCAUUAGUCUUUUAAUUGGAGACUGGUAUGAAUGGCUAAACGAGAAAUCUACUUUUUUUAUUUAAGGAAUUGAAUUUAAUUUUUUAGUGAAAAAGCUAAAAUUUUUCAGAAAGACGAGAAGACCCUAUAGAGUUUAUAUACUGCGAAAAAUUUUUUUAAAAUGGGUUUUAGAAAAAUAGUUUUCUUGUAGUAUUUUGUUGGGGCGACAUAAAGAUAAGAGAAACUCUUUAUAAAAAAAACUAAAAUAAAAGGAUUCUUGAUCCUCUAAAAGAGAUUAAAAGAAAAAUUACCUUAGGGAUAACAGCGUAAUCUUUUUUGAGAGUUCUAAUCGACAAGAAGGUUUGCGACCUCGAUGUUGGACUAAAAUUUAAGCA
rnacentral:rRNA from 1 species